rnacentral:rRNA from 1 species
UACGAAGGGGGCUAGCGUUGCUCGGAAUCACUGGGCGUAAAGCGCACGUAGGCGGCUUUCUAAGUCAGGGGUGAAAUCCUGGAGCUCAACUCCAGAACUGCCUUUGAUACUGGAGGGCUUGAGUCCGGAAGAGGUGAGUGGAACUCCGAGUGUAGAGGUGAAAUUCGUAGAUAUUCGGAAGGACACCAGUGGCGAAGGCGGCUCACUGGUCCGGUACUGACGCUGAUGUGCGAAAGCGUGGGGAGCAAACAGG